GCGGAGGAAAAGAAACCAACAGGGAUUGCCCUAGUAACGGCGAGUGAAGCGGCAACAGCUCAAAUUUGAAAUCUGGCGCAAGCCCGAGUUGUAAUUUGUAGAGGAUGCUUCUGGGCAGCGGCCGUUCUAAGUUCCUUGGAACAGGACGUCAUAGAGGGUGAGAAUCCCGUAUGUGACCGGCGCGCACCCUCCACGUAGCUCCUUCGACGAGUCGAGUUGUUUGGGAAUGCAGCUCUAAAUGGGAGGUAAAUUUCUUCUAAAGCUAAAUACCGGCCAGAGACCGAUAGCGCACAAGUAGAGUGAUCGAAAGAUGAAAAGCACUUUGGAAAGAGAGUUAAAAAGCACGUGAAAUUGUUGAAAGGGAAGCGCUUGCAACCAGACUUCGCGGCGGUGUUCCGCCGGUCUUUUGACCGGUCUACUCGCCGCCGCGAGGCCAACAUCGUCUGGGGCCGCCGGAUAAGACCGUAGGAAUGUGGCUCCCUCGGGAGUGUUAUAGCCUGCGGUGAUGCGGCGCGUCUCGGGCGAGGUCCGCGCUUCGGCAAGGAUGUUGGCGUAAUGGUUGCCAGCGGCCCGUCUUGAAACACGGACCAAGGAGUCUAACAUCUAUGCGAGUGUUCGGGUGUCAAACCCCUACGCGUAAUGAAAGUGAACGGAGGUGGGAGCUUCGGCGCACCAUCGACCGAUCCUGAUGUCCUCGGAUGGAUUUGAGUAAGAGCAUAGCUGUUGGGACCCGAAAGAUGGUGAACUAUGCCUGAAUAGGGUGAAGCCAGAGGAAACUCUGGUGGAGGCUCGCAGCGGUUCUGACGUGCAAAUCGAUCGUCAAAUUUGGGUAUAGGGGCGAAAGACUAAUCGAACCAUCUAGUAGCUGGUUCCUGCC
rnacentral:rRNA from 1 species